AUUGAACGCUGGCGGCAGGCCUAACACAUGCAAGUCGAGCGGAUGAGGGGAGCUUGCUCCUGGAUUCAGCGGCGGACGGGCGAGUAAUGCCUAGGAAUCUGCCUGGUAGUGGGGGAUAACGUCCGGAAAUGGGCGCUAAUACCGCAUACGUCCUGAGGGAGAAAGUGGGGGAUCUUCGGACCUCACGCUAUCAGAUGAGCCUAGGUCGGAUUAGCUAGUUGGUGGGGUAAAGGCCUACCAAGGCGACGAUCCGUAACUGGUCUGAGAGGAUGAUCAGUCACACUGGAACUGAGACACGGUCCAGCCUCCUACGGGAGGCAGCGGUGGGGAAUAUUGGACAAUGGGCGAAAGCCUGAUCCAGCCAUGCGGCGUGGGUGAAGAAGGUCUUCGGAUGGUAAAGCACUUUAAGUUGGGAGGAAGGGCAGUAAGUUAAAACCUUGCUGUUUGGACGUUACCAACAGAAUAAGCACCGGCUAACUUCGU
rnacentral:rRNA from 1 species